rnacentral:rRNA from 1 species
CACUCCUGCGGGAGGCAGCAGUGGGGAAUAUUGCACAAUGGGCGCAAGCCUGAUGCAGCCAUGCCGCGUGUAUGAAGAAGGCCUUCGGGUUGUAAAGUACUUUCAGCGGGGAGGAAGGCGAUAAGGUUAAUAACCUUGUCGAUUGACGUUACCCGCAGAAGAAGCACCGGCUAACUCCGUGCCAGCAGCCGCGGUAAUACGGAGGGUGCAAGCGUUAAUCGGAAUUACUGGGCGUAAAGCGCACGCAGGCGGUCUGUCAAGUCGGAUGUGAAAUCCCCGGGCUCAACCUGGGAACUGCAUUCGAAACUGGCAGGCUAGAGUCUUGUAGAGGGGGGUAGAAUUCCAGGUGUAGCGGUGAAAUGCGUAGAGAUCUGGAGGAAUACCGGUGGCGAAGGCGGCCCCCUGGACAAAGACUGACGCUCAGGUGCGAAAGCGUGGGGAGCAAACAGGAUUAGAAACCCUUGUAGUCCCAUGAU